rnacentral:rRNA from 1 species
UAACGCGAAGAACCUUACCUACUCUUGACAUCCAGAGAACUUUCCAGAGAUGGAUUGGUGCCUUCGGGAACUCUGAGACAGGUGCUGCAUGGCUGUCGUCAGCUCGUGUUGUGAAAUGUUGGGUUAAGUCCCGCAACGAGCGCAACCCUUAUCCUUUGUUGCCAGCGGUCCGGCCGGGAACUCAAAGGAGACUGCCAGUGAUAAACUGGAGGAAGGUGGGGAUGACGUCAAGUCAUCAUGGCCCUUACGACCAGGGCUACACACGUGCUACAAUGGCGCAUACAAAGAGAAGCGACCUCGCGAGAGCAAGCGGACCUCAUAAAGUGCGUCGUAGUCCGGAUUGGAGUCUGCAACUCGACUCCAUGAAGUCGGAAUCGCUAGUAAUCGUGGAUCAGAAUGCCACGGUGAAUA